rnacentral:rRNA from 1 species
AUGCUGAUAGUGAAGCUGAGAAUGGUUGAUGUGGAUCUAGCUUCUGGCCGGCGGAAAGCAAAGCUGUCUAAAUCUCAUGGAAGAGUAGUCUAUCUCUCUUUGAGGGAUGAAAAGGCAAGGUUGCUGGCUAACCUCUCCCGGGCCUAUAUGCAGCCUGAUAACUAUGAGGAGGCUGAAAUGCUCUACAAGUAUAUAUCUCGGCCCUGA